UACGGAGGGUGCAAGCGUUGUCCGGAAUCAUUGGGUGUAAAGGGUGCGUAGGCUGGCGCCUAAGUCUGGGGUGAAAUCUUACCGCUUAACGGUAAAAUGGCCCUGGAUACUGGGUGUCUUGAAUCUGACAGAGGUCGGUGGAAUUCGUGGUGUAGCGGUGAAAUGCAUAGAGAUCACGAAGAACACCAGUGGCGAAGGCGGCCGGCUGGGUCAGUAUUGACGCUGAGGCACGAGAGCGUGGGGAGCGAACAGG
rnacentral:misc_RNA from 1 species